UAGGGAAUCUUCCACAAUGGACGCAAGUCUGAUGGAGCAACGCCGCGUGAGUGAAGAAGGCUUUCGGGUCGUAAAACUCUGUUGUUGGAGAAGAAUGGUCGGCAGAGUGACUGUUGUCGGCGUGACGGUAUCCAACCAGAAAGCCACGGCUAACUACGUGCCAGCAGCCGCGGUAAUACGUAGGUGGCGAGCGUUGUCCGGAAUUACUGGGCGUAAAGAGUGCGUAGGCGGAUAUUUAAGUGAGAUGUGAAAUACCCGGGCUUAACCCGGGCACUGCAUUUCAAACUGGAUAUCUAGAGUGCGGGAGAGGAGAAUGGAAUUCCUAGUGUAGCGGUGAAAUGCGUAGAGAUUAGGAAGAAUACCAGUGGCGAAGGCGGCUUUCUGGACUGUAACUGACGCUGAGGCAUGAAAGCAUGGGUAGCAAACAGGAUUAGAUACCCUGGUAGUCCAUGCCGUAAACGAUGAUUACUAGGUGUGGGGGGUCUGACCCCUUCCGUGCCGGAGUUAACACAAUAAGUAAUCCACCUGGGAAGUACGAUCGCAAGGUUG
rnacentral:rRNA from 1 species